AUGGCUCAGGAUGAACGCUAGCGACAGGCCUAACACAUGCAAGUCGAGGGGCAUCGGGGCGAGGAGCAAUCCUUGCCGCCGGCGACCGGCGCACGGGUGAGUAACGCGUAUGCGACCUGCCCGUUGCAGGGGGAUAAUCGGGAGAAAUCCCGUCUAAUACCGCGUAAUGCCGCGGGGCUGCAUGGCCCUGCGGCCAAAGGAAGCGAUUCCGGCAACGGAUGGGCAUGCGUGACAUUAGCUAGUUGGCGGGGCAACGGCCCACCAAGGCGACGAUGUCUAGGGGUUCUGAGAGGAAGGUCCCCCACACUGGUACUGAAACACGGACCAGACUCCUACGGGAGGCAGCAGUGAGGAAUAUUGGUCAAUGGGCGCGAGCCUGAACCAGCCAAGUCGCGUGAGGGAUGACGGCCCUACGGGUUGUAAACCUCUUUUGUCGGGGAGCAAAUUCCGCCACGUGUGGCGGAGUCGAGAGUACCCGAAGAAAAAGCAUCGGCUAACUCCGUGCCAGCAGCCGCGGUAAUACGGAGGAUGCGAGCGUUAUCCGGAUUUAUUGGGUUUAAAGGGUGCGUAGGCGGACUGUCAAGUCAGCGGUAAAAUACGGGGGCUCAACCUCCGCCCGCCGUUGAAACUGACGGUCUUGAGUGGGCGAGAAGUAUGCGGAAUGCGUGGUGUAGCGGUGAAAUGCAUAGAUAUCACGCAGAACUCCGAUUGCGAAGGCAGCAUACCGGCGCCCAACUGACGCUGAAGCACGAAAGCGUGGGUAUCGAACAGGAUUAGAUACCCUGGUAGUCCACGCAGUAAACGAUGAAUACUAGCUGUCCGGGGCGAAUGAGCCCUGGGUGGCACAGCGAAAGCGUUAAGUAUUCCACCUGGGGAGUACGCCGGCAACGGUGAAACUCAAAGGAAUUGACGGGGGCCCGCACAAGCGGAGGAACAUGUGGUUUAAUUCGAUGAUACGCGAGGAACCUUACCCGGGCUCAAACGACACAGGAACGUACCUGAAAGGGUUCGGCUCUACGGAGCCUGUGUCGAGGUGCUGCAUGGUUGUCGUCAGCUCGUGCCGUGAGGUGUCGGCUUAAGUGCCAUAACGAGCGCAACCCCCAUCGACAGUUGCUAACAGGUCAGGCUGAGGACUCUGUCGAGACUGCCGGCGCAAGCUGCGAGGAAGGCGGGGAUGACGUCAAAUCAGCACGGCCCUUACGUCCGGGGCGACACACGUGUUACAAUGGCAGGUACAGCGGGAAGCCACCUGGCGACAGGGAGCGGAACCCGAAAGCCUGUCUCAGUUCGGAUUGGAGUCUGCAACCCGACUCCAUGAAGCUGGAUUCGCUAGUAAUCGCGCAUCAGCCACGGCGCGGUGAAUACGUUCCCGGGCCUUGUACACACCGCCCGUCAAGCCAUGGAAGCCGGGGGUGCCUGAAGUGCGCUGCCGCGAGGAGCGCCCUAGGGUAAAACCGGUGACUGGGGCUAAGUCGUAACAAGGU
rnacentral:rRNA from 1 species